ensembl:lncRNA
GGCCCUCCGCCGCCCCUUCCUGUCAUGGCGGCGGCCGGGCCCCGGCAGCGCGACGAGGCGGCGGGGUGGAAAGCAGCCCUCCCCAGGAGCUGAGCGGCCGGUGCCGAGCGGGGACGCCGCCCAGCCCGGAGUCGGCGGCGUUGCGCUGCGGCGGGAGGUGACCGAGAUAUUGCUGAAGGACCUGCUUUCUACUGCUUUCGGCGUUUAACUUCCUUGUGGGGUCAGCAGCAUGUCUUCCGCCGAGUGUACCUCAAGACUUCUCCUGGUCCUCACUUCACUGCUGCUGGUGCUGCCAGUGGUUGAAGCCAUGGACGCAGGAGAUACAAUUGCCUUCCUGCUGGGCCUCGCUGUCAGUGUCAUUGGAUUCUGUGCCUGCCUUGGCUUGUAUGCCAGGAAAAGAAAUGGACAGCAAUGAUUUCAAGAAGAUGCUCAAAUGAAAUGCGUUUCCUAACAUUGCUUGGGGUUGAGGUCUGGGAUUUAAAACUGUGCUUCAAUUCUGGAUAACUUUUGAAAACUUGUAGAUCUGUCAUCAUGACAGUAAGAUGAUUUUACAUUGCUUGUGAUUAAAUAAUGCCUUAGAGAAGGGUGAGAACUGUUUGAAUGGGGGAGGAGAACCAGAGUGGUUCACAGUAAACAAUGAUAAAUGGAAUGUAUGAGGGAGACCUUCAACAAGUUUUGCAAUUUUGGUUUCAGGGGUUCAUCAGGAGAAAGCAGCUAUUAGUCUUCCAGUCAGGAUGACAGAGCUUUGGAAAUACCUCUGAUGAGAUAAGUAGCGUGCAGACUGCUUUGACAUGAGUACAUGUGCUCACAUGGUUUGCAAUGACAGCACCUAGCAGCUCACUUCCACUGUUACAGGGACGAGGGGAGAACUAAGAAAACAUGGAAAACUUUUGUCUAUUUAUUUUUAUUUUAGAAUGUGCCUCUUCUGUAGCCUGUGUUCUUGUUACCAGAAUGGGAUAGCUUUUUUUUUUUUUUACUUCAACAUGUAAAGCUGUGUGAAUCAAGUAGGGAGUAUGUUUUGUUGCCACUUCUUUAUUUUCAGCACUCCGUUUUCAUUUAAGCAUGCUGAGUAAAGUGUUGUGUUUUGGUUUGGUUUGGUUUUUUGUUUGCUUUUUCCAAAAAUGAAGAUUUAGCUAUUUUAGUGUGGAAUUAUAUGUAGUGUUUCUAAAUUAGGCAGUUAUUAAAUUUUAUCAGGACAAUUGUGCAUAUUUCUUUUGCAAUAUUGAAACAACUUGUUUUGUUAAAAUCCUGGGUUUAGUAGACAAAUCUGUUAUUCUUGAAUGUCCUCCUCAUGAUAAACUCAGUGUUGUUAGUUAAGUAUUUAGGCUUCUUUUCUCACUGAUACCUAAGAGUUCCACAGAAUAGGACCAAAAACAAAGUAAAAAUUUUUGAUGCAAAAUUCUAUUCAUGCUCAGUCAAACAGUGUGUUAUAUGGUUGAAAGAAUCUACUCAAUAGCAGAUCUAGAACCCAUUUCUUUCUUUUCGUAGCAGUGUGGAAAUGACACAGCUGAGAAUGUCGACCACAAAGCCCUCAGGCUUAUGAGGAUGUUCUCACUGUCAUCUUAGUUGAAGGAGCACAUGAAAGCAAAUAAAUAACAGCAGGAAAGAAAAAAAAGCAGCAGAAUAAGCAGCGGAGGAAGGUGAACUCUGUGCAGUUCACAGAAUUUUGUUCUGAUCUUGUGCUGUUGGCACUGCCACUCUUGGUAGAAAUCUCGUCUUUUAUCUUUCAAAGUUGGAGAGAAAAGGUGAAAUGUGAUGCAAAGUUAUGUAUGUUGAUACUGUUCCUCCCCUUUCUCUGUUAGUGUCUCUGUUUAGUAGAGCACAAAGCAAUGACUGGAAUUGCAAAAUAGGUUUUACGUAAAUAAUUGGAUGGGCAGAUCAUGUUCUACCAAUUCUAAGAUUCCUAUAUUCCAUGUACCAUAUGUGGCUGUUUUGACUUCUGUCUGUUCAGAAGCUGGAGAGAGAAGUCCAGUUUAUUUCAGUCUCAUAAUUGUGUCUGUCUCAUGGUUAAUGGAGGAAGGUAUAAUGAAAGUAUCCAAAAUACUGUGGGGUUGAAACUGGGAUUCAGCCCAGCAAGCCACAUUAAUCUUAGUUUCUGCUCUCAAACUACUGGAAUUACAAUGGUCCCAAAGUUGCUCUGCUGAAAUGCAAGCCUUGCCAAGUAGCUCUUCUCGUACCCCUUUUUUGGCUUCCAAAGGCCACAGUGGGACAGCCCUAAAAUGAGCUGUGAAUAGUAGUGUCACCUUCAAAGUUCAGUAUGUGAUUUUUCAACUGAGUGUGUGCAAGCACGCAUCAUGUGUGAUUUGCAUUCAGGCUUGGCUAAACUAUUAUUACCCUUACAAACAACAAAACACCUGACAACUCAGUACGCUUUGCAUUGCCCCACAUUUGAGAAGUCUGCCACUUUUUCAGUAGAAUAUUAAAUAAUGCUUUCAAUAGUAGAAAUUUUAUCACAAGCAGCUUUUCUCAGACUCCUUCAUCAUCAAUUUGGAACAGAUAUGAGAUCCCUGGCAACAGUUUCACGGGAUUGUGCAACACUUUCACUGUAGGAGUACAACAUUUUGGUGGAAUAAUUAGCAUUGGGCUAUAGAGAAAUGAGGAACUGUGUUCUUUGCCUGAAGCUGUAUGUACUUCAUUGAAAGGUGUUUGCACAGCAUAAUGGUAUUGUUUCCUGGGUUCUGACAGAAGCUUUAUUGUUGAAGACUUGCAUUUGUCAAUUACUUAAAUGUAAAAUUUGAUAUCCCUGUUUUUCUUCUGCUUUAAUAAACUUUCACAUAUGAUUUGUU